UGCAGUCGAGGGAGAGCACAUACUAUACGGAUGUGUGGAGACCGGCGAACGGGUGAGUAACACGUGAGAAACCUGCCCCAGAGAUCGGAAUAACCACGGGAAACUGUGGCUAAUGCCGAAUAUUCUCCAACCACCGCAUGGCGGAUGGAGGAAAAGUCCGCUGCUCUGGGAUGGUCUCGCGGCGUAUCAGCUAGUUGGUGAGGUAACGGCUCACCAAGGCCACGACGCGUAGCUGGAGUGAGAGCUCGAACAGCCACACUGGGACUGAGACACGGCCCAGACUCCUACGGGAGGCAGCAGUAGGGAAUCUUGCGCAAUGGGCGAAAGCCUGACGCAGCGACGCCGCGUGUGGGAAGAAGGCCUUCGGGUUGUAAACCACUUUCAGGAGGGAAGAAGCGCAAGUGACGGUACCUCCAGAAGAAGGUCCGGCCAACUACGUGCCAGCAGCCGCGGUAAUACGUAGGGACCGAGCGUUGUCCGGAAUUAUUGGGCGUAAAGAGCUCGUAGGCGGUUCUUUAAGUCGGGUGUGAAAUCUCAGGGCUCAACCCUGAGACUGCACCCGAUACUGGAGAACUUGAGGCAGGUAGGGGAGAUCGGAAUUCCUGGUGUAGCGGUGAAAUGCGCAGAUAUCAGGAGGAACACCGGUGGCGAAGGCGGAUCUCCGGGCCUGCUCUGACGCUGAGGAGCGAAAGCGUGGGGAGCAAACAGGAUUAGAUACCCCUGGUAGUCCACGCCGUAAACGAUGGGUGCUAGGUGUGGGAGAUAAUCCACCUCUUCCGUGCCGCAGCUAACGCAUUAAGCACCCCGCCUGGGGACUACGGCCGCAAGGCUAAAACUCAAAGGAAUUGACGGGGGCCCGCACAAGCGGCGGAGCAUGUGGCUUAAUUCGAAGCAACGCGAAGAACCUUACCAGGGCUUGAAAUAUACCGGACCGCCUCAGAAAUGAGGUUUCUUUUAGUCGGUAUACAGGUGGUGCAUGGUUGUCGUCAGCUCGUGCCGUGAGGUGUUGGGUUAAGUCCCGCAACGAGCGCAACCCUUGUCCUAUGUUGCCAGCGAGUAAUGUCGGGGACUCAUGGGAGACUGCCGGUGUCAAACCGGAGGAAGGUGGGGAUGACGUCAAAUCAUCAUGCCCCUUAUGUCCUGGGCUGCACACAUGCUACAAUGGCCGGUACAGAGGGCUGCGAUCCCGCGAGGGUGAGCGAAUCUCACAAAGCCGGUCUCAGUUCGGAUUGGAGUCUGCAACUCGACUCCAUGAAGGCGGAGUCGCUAGUAAUCGCAGAUCAGCAACGCUGCGGUGAAUACGUUCCCGGGCCUUGUACACACCGCCCGUCACGUCACGAAAGUCGGUAACACCCGAAGUCAGUGGCCCAACCGCAAGGAGGAGCUGCCGAACGUG
rnacentral:rRNA from 1 species